UACGUAGGGGGCUAGCGUUGUCCGGAAUCAUUGGGCGUAAAGAGCGUGUAGGCGGCCCGGUAAGUCCGCUGUGAAAGUCGGGGGCUCAACCCUCGAAUGCCGGUGGAUACUGUCGGGCUAGAGUGCGGAAGAGGCAAGUGGAAUUCCCGGUGUAGCGGUGAAAUGCGCAGAUAUCAGGAAGAACACCAAUGGCGAAGGCAGCUCUCUGGGACGGUACUGACGCUGAGACGCGAAAGCGUGGGGAGCGAACAGG
rnacentral:rRNA from 1 species